rnacentral:lncRNA from 1 species
CGCAUCCUUUCUGGUAGUCCCAAGCAACGCCCGGCCGCCGUCGUCCAGCCCAGCCAUCCCAAUACAGCAGCCGCUUUCUGUCAGCCAGCCAUGGGCGCGACCGUCCACAGCGUUUAUCGUCGGUUACGAGGUAACAUGUGAAUUCGCAACUUGCGCUACUGACUGCCUACUCUCGUGCCGCCUGCAAGCCCACUCCGCCGUCCGCUCUGGUCUACGUACGCAUUCGUUCCCACCACACUCGUCAUUA